rnacentral:misc_RNA from 1 species
GAUAAUUACCAACAUUGGGUAACCUGCAAAUUCAUAUUUUACACUAGAUACUUUCUUGCAUUGAACUUACAAGGACUUGUCAGGCAUUCUGCACUAUAGUUAACAGCUCUAAUGAUCUGUCAGAAAGGUAGAAAGGUGAUUCUUGCGUUACAAUGCCUGGUUGAUGAAAUUAUUCCCAAAGAUACAUGAUAUGGUAAUUUGUCUCAAAAUUUAUAUAAUUUGUAGUUUCUACAGAAUUCAUAAUCUUCUCAGAAAUUCACCAAAGAAUGAUAAACCAUUUCAUAACCACCAAGCACUUAAUCAAUGACAGGUAGCCGAGCAAAUCAAGCAAAUAAGGUCCACACAAACCAGGAUCACUGCAUGUCAUGAUAAUAUUCUUCUCGACAAAAAUGACGCCAAGAAGUAUACCCUCACAUGUGCAAAAUCCAGGAAGAAUGGAAGAUUUGCAUAGAACAAACUUGCAAUAGAGAAGUACAGUUCCACUUUUCCAAGGGGCACGCCCCUACAGGCUACAGCAAGAGCCAAAAGA